GUAAAGUUUGAGAGGAGCCCCUGCAGUCUUUAUAGAGUGCUGAAGGCAGAGAAGCACUUUGGCAGUUUGGAGAGAGACAGAGAGAGAGGCUACAGAAAUGCAGAGAGAGGGAUGCGAGUGUGGGUGAAGGAAAGAGUGAGAGACUACGGAUAGGAGCAGGAGAGGUGCUGUCCAGACCAGAAGGGGCCUCUGAAAGUGUUGCAUAGAAACAGAGGAGAAACAGAGUGAGACACUCAGACUACGACCUCAAAGACAUCAGAGAGGAAGGGGAACCUGUGACAGAGCCUGCUAGCCUGCCUCGCUGCCAGACAAACUUUACUCACACAAGCUUCUCUCACUUCACCCAUACUUUACACUGGGUUUGCUGUGCGCCAUGGCAUGUACUUGCACUUCUAUGCUUUCUUCGAAUCACUCGAAUGCCUCACCCUCCUCUCUCACAUUUUACUUCGCUGUUAAUCCACACAGCUGCUCAAAUCAUUAGUCAAUUAAAAAAGAAAAAAAAAACCCCUAUCAAAUUCAGGAGUGUGUGUAUUUUUGUAACAUCCUGCAAUAAACUGACAGGGAAG